GCUAACCACAGCCUUCCCUGUGCCUCUGCCUCCCUGCAGACACAUAAGAAGGUGAUUGCUUGUGGUAGGUUUCAGAACAUUGCAAAAUUUGCUGGAGAGAAAGGGUUAUUUGUGGGAUCCUGAGUGGUACCUGUUGCCAUGCCCUUGCCUGUCCCAUCACCUCCAUCCCAACAGUGCCAGGGGCCUCCGAUCAAAUUUUGUCCAUGUCUGACCCAACCUACCAGAUUUUGAAGCAAAUGUUUUCGUGCCUGCCCACGCAAACUGCAAGGAGGACAACACAAGAAAAUAAAUGAAAGUGCCAGGAAAAUUAUUUUUUUGGCAGGGGAAGGGGAGGUAAUUUCUUUUUACUGUCUAUUUUAUGAUUUUAUUGAAGUUUGCAGCCAGGAGUUACAUGUCACGUUUCGGUGAUCUGACAUGCAAGCAGCAAUAAAUAAUGACGUUGGUUCUAUUUUUAUGAUGAU
rnacentral:lncRNA from 1 species